rnacentral:rRNA from 1 species
GUGGGGAAUAUUGGGCAAUGGGCGAAAGCCUGACCCAGCAACGCCGCGUGAAGGAAGAAGGUCUUCGGAUCGUAAACUUCUAUCCUUGGUGAAGAUAAUGACGGUAGCCGAGAAGGAAGCCCCGGCUAACUACGUGCCAGCAGCCGCGGUAAUACGUAGGGGGCAAGCGUUGUCCGGAAUGAUUGGGCGUAAAGGGCGCGUAGGCGGCCUGGUAAGUCUGGAGUGAAAGUCCUGCUUUUAAGGUGGGAAUUGCUUUGGAUACUGUCGGGCUUGAGUGCAGGAGAGGUAAGUGGAAUUCCCGGUGUAGCGGUGAAAUGAGUAGAGAUCGGGAGGAACACCAGUGGCGAAGGCGACUUACUGGACGAUGUCUGACGCUGAGGCGCGAAAGCUAGGGGAGCGAACGGGAUUAGAUACCCGAGUAGUCC